rnacentral:rRNA from 1 species
GACGAACGCUGGCGGCGUGCCUAACACAUGCAAGUCGAACGGAGCUAACGAUUUCGGUUGUUAGUUUAGUGGCGAACGGGUGAGUAACGCGUGAACAACCUGCCCAGUAGAGGGGGAUAACAACCGGAAACGGUUGCUAAUACCGCAUAAGACCACGACCCGGCAUCGGGAUGGGGUCAAAGGAGCAAUCCGCUGUUGGAGGGGUUCGCGUCCCAUUAGAUAGUUGGCGGGGUAAUGGCCCACCAAGUCCGCGAUGGGUAGCCGAGCUGAGAGGCUGAUCGGCCACACUGGAACUGAGACACGGUCCAGACUCCUACGGGAGGCAGCAGUGGGGAAUAUUGGGCAAUGGGCGCAAGCCUGACCCAGCAACGCCGCGUGAGGGAAGAAGGCUUUCGGGUUGUAAACCUCUGUCCUUGGUGACGAACAAAUGACGGUAGCCAAGGAGGAAGCCCGGCUAACUACGUGCCAGCAGCCGCAGUAAAGUCGAUAUCG